GAAAUUUUCUAAAUAGAUAGAAUUUUAUUUGGUAAUGAAUAGAUAGUAUCAGGCAGGUAACUGGAGUCCACAGGGGAAAAGAGGUGAGUUGCUCCAGGUAAAGAGACAUCCCAGACAGUCCUCACUGGAAGCAUUAUCUGAAAGGUCCUUCGUAGCCUGGAGUUAGUAAACUGAAUUGUUCUUCACGUCAUUCUUCAGGGAAGGAUGUUGAUCUCACAAGUGUCGUUCUCAAUGCAGCAGGAGUGAAGAAGCCAAGGACUCGGUAAAUACUGAGCUUGUUUUGCCAGUUAAAGUAAGUUAGUUUUCAUAAGGAUGAAAAAGUGCCUCCAGAGACAACACGUUGCUGAGAAGAAUUAGACGACCAAAGCUGCAGAAGAGACUGCAUCUUCGGGGAGACCCCAGAAGUCCAGACAAAAGUCUUUCACAAUACCCAUAGAAGUACUGAGGCCAAGGUAGCCUCAGGGUAGAGAUGACAUUUCAGAACAAGAGAUCAGCAAGCAGGAGAGAUCUGAGCCAGCAAUGCAGAAUAUUUCCUUCAAAGCAAUAA
rnacentral:lncRNA from 1 species